rnacentral:rRNA from 1 species
UACGAAGGCCCCAAGCUUUAUCCGGAUUUACUGGGCGUAAAGCGUUAAAAGGCGGUGCAUUAAGUCGGGUGUUAAAGCCCAGGGCUCAACCCUGGAUCUGCAUUCGAAACUGGUGCGCUAGAGGACGGAAGAAGCAAGCGGAAUUGCUGGUGUAGCAGUAAAAUGCGUUUAUAUCAGCAGGAACACCGAUAGCGUAGGCAGCUUGCUAGGACGUUUCUGACGCUAAAGUAACGAAAGCGUAGGUAGCGAAUGGG